rnacentral:rRNA from 1 species
UGCAAUGAGAGUUGUGCUAAGGUAGCGUGAUAAUUUGUUUUUUAAUUGAAAAAUGGUAUGAAUGGUUUAACGUGGAAAGACUGUCUCUUUAAAAAAAAUUGAAGUUUCCUUUUAAGUUAAAAGGCUUAAUAUUUUGUAAAAGACGAGAAGACCCUGCGAGCUUGAUUAAUGAUGAUGGAAUUUAUUAUCAAAAAGUUUUGUUGGGGCAAUAUAAGAUAUAAUAAACAUCUUAAAAUUAAUGUAAAUCCUUUUUGAAAGAAAAAAGAAAAAGCUACCGCAGGGAUAACAGCGUUAUUUUUUCUUAGAGAUCUUAUUGAGGAAAAAGUUUGCGACCUCGAUGUUGGAUUAU